UCAACCGCCAGGGAAUUACGAGCCCAAUCUUAAAACCCAAAGGACUUGACGGUGUCCCACCCACCUAGAGGAGCCUGUUCUAUAAUCGACACCCCCCGAUAUACCUCACCACUUCUAGCACACUCAGUCUGUAUACCUCCGUCGCAAGCUUACCAUAUGAACGCAAGUGAGCUAAAAGAUUUUACAUCCACACGUCAGGUCAAGGUGCAACCAACGAAGCGGAAAGCAAUGGGCUACAGUCUCUACGAAUAGAACACACGAAAAACUGCAUGCAACACAUCAUGAAGGUGGAUUUAGCAGUAAAAAGAAAAUAUAGAGUUCUUUUUAAUCAGGCACUGGGACGCGU
rnacentral:rRNA from 1 species